UCUCCACACUGCAACCAAGUAACAGGGAAAAGAGUCAAUGUUUUUUUCUGUGCCCUCAAACCCGGCAAAAGAGGAAGCAGCAGCCAUGCCAGCUUCAUGCUUCUCACACCCCAGCUGUGUCCUAAGUGCAGCAGAGACCCUGGCUUGCAAACAGGUACUGCCUCACCAAAGCUGACUGGCUGGCAUCAUCUGGCAGGGACAUUGCUCCUUUACUGUGUCAUUGCAUUCUUCCAUAGAUGGGAUAAGAAGGUGAAAAGGACCACAAACUCUAGAUGAAAGCUUGGGCACUACAGCUUCGGUGGCCCCUGACUAUCACCUCCUCAGUCACAUCUGCCUCAGGGGAAGCAGCAGGUGCAAACCUGUACAACCCCUGUGUGGCUCAGCCAGCACCAGUGCUAAGAUGUCAGUCCUGUCUUCAUCUGAGGCAUCUCAAUACCUUGCCUGCCUUCCAACCAGGGAGGUCACUCUUCCAAGGAGAGACCCACUCCAGGAUGUGGACUGCUUCAUCCUCCAGGUGCUUCAUGAGGGCUUGUGCUUGCCAUCGCCCCCAUCAGCUGCCCUGCUAGACUCCCUGUGGGGAACCUCACCCCUCCCGGACCCUCCUCUAAGAUGACACUCCCAGAGUUCACAGCCAGCUUCACAUCCUGCACCAGAAGAUUGCCACCUCACUGAGCACCAUCAUCGUCAGUGUGCAAGAGGUUUUGUCCUCGGGCAGCCCCAACCCCGGUGCCCCACAGCAGGGCACAUGGGCCCCGUGGGACUUCUUUCCCACCAGUCAAUAUUCCCUGGCUGCCUGGGGCCUUGUGGCCUGCAGCCAGGCAUCCAGGGCUGCCUAUGGGGGUGAGUGUGGGUGGCUAUGGGUGUUUCCCCACAAAUUUUGCAUAUUCCUCCCCCGACUAUUCUAAACCCUCUGUAAAUCUUCUCUGGCUGUGAAGGUAUUACACAUAUUUGGGGCCACAACAGCCUUCUGUGUGCAAGGUUGCUCCAGGACGAUGUGAUGACCCAGGCUCACCAUCUCCCUGCAGGCUCAAGGCAUGUUGCUUUGGCAUGGGUGGGGGUGUCCUGUAUUUUUCCUGACAUCUUUCUGCAAACCCAGGACAAGACCACACUGACCCCAGAUACAUCCAGCAGAAUUCAGAUCUCCCUGUGAGCUCAGGGCAGGACAACUUGUGCUAGCAGAUCAUCUCAGCUCCUGGUAAAUCUGGAGAGGAAGAGCAGGACACUUUCUCCAGUAGGGGACCAGAAGCAGCUUUGGCUUUCUGCAAGCUUAGGACAGAAGUCUUUGGGAACAGAAAAGAUCCACCAAGAUCAUAUCAAAAGAAAAAACACAGUACCUCUGCUAUUUGGGGCUGUUACCACAGCUUAUCAGAGAACAGGAGGCAUUUCCCCAGCAUUCACACACAAACAUCCUCCUGUCAGGGGCUCAAAAGGGCUUCAGUAAUCUGAAGAAUCAUCCUAACCAAAAGGCAAUAGCAGAACCCAGACCUUGACACAGGGUGAGGCUUUUCCCAUGGGCUGAGCAAGCAUCAACACAAACCCAUGGUCCCUCACUUCCCCUGGGAUGACUGCCUCAGGCGGCCACAGUUCAGUGGCUUGGGAUCUCAGCAACAGACUGGGACAGCCACCAUUUCUGCCUGGCCUAAUUCCCCAGUGAGCAUCAAGCAUGCCAAAUGGUGCCCACAGCAUGCUGAGGUACAGCUGCAAUCGUGGACAUUCAUGCCAUUUGCCACAGUCUCAAGGUGUUCUCCCUGGCCUGUAAAAUACCUUUGUUUUCAUGCUCCAAAGCCAGUAUUUACAUUACAGAUUAGUGAACAGAGGAUGCUGGGGUAAUGUGGAUCUUUGGGAGGUCUGGGGGUGGUUAUUGAAACUGACCCAAACAACUGAAUACAUUGCAUCCUCCCUCACUGUUGCUUCUCUCCUCUUUUCUCAGACAGCAUUCAGAUAGAAUUAGCCACUGGUCAGAAUUUAAAUGGCAGACUUGUGAGCUCUAAUUAGCUUCUUCAAACAUGUAAAUUGCAGAAGAGGGUACUGGGCAUAUGGGACAGAGAGCAGCAGUGCACAGGGAGCAUUUUAGUGACAGGCAGUCAGCCCAGUCAGCUCCCCCCGGUCCUCAGAGCACAGGAACAGGCUUCUGGCUGUGCUGGGGAAAGCUGGGUGCCAGGGAGAUGGCCCCUGUCCUCCCACAGCUUCCCAGUGUGUCCCCCACUCCCCACCCCACCUC